rnacentral:rRNA from 1 species
UACGUAGGGGGCGAGCGUUGUCCGGAUUUAUUGGGCGUAAAGAGCUCGUAGGCGGUUCGAUAAGUCGGACGUGAAAUCUCCACGCUCAACGUGGAGGGGCCGUUCGAUACUGUCGUGACUCGAGUCCGGUAGGGGAGUGUGGAAUUCCCGGUGUAGCGGUGAAAUGCGCAGAGAUCGGGAGGAACACCCGUAGCGAAGGCGGCUCUCUGGGACGGUACUGACGCUGAGGAGCGAAAGUGUGGGGAGCGAACAGG